GGGUUGUGAGGUUAAGCGACUAAGCGUACACGGUGGAUGCCCUGGCAGUCAGAGGCGAUGAAGGGCGUGCUAAUCUGCGAUAAGCGCCGGUAAGGUGAUAUGAACCGUUAUAACCGGCGAUACCCGAAUGGGGAAACCCAGUGUGAUUCGUCACACUAUCAUUAACUGAAUCCAUAGGUUAAUGAGGCGAACCGGGGGAACUGAAACAUCUAAGUACCCCGAGGAAAAGAAAUCAACCGAGAUUCCCCCAGUAGCGGCGAGCGAACGGGGAGGAGCCCAGAGCCUGAAUCAGCAUGUGUGUUAGUGGAAGCGUCUGGAAAGGCGCGCGAUACAGGGUGACAGCCCCGUACACAAAAGCGCAUGUGCUGUGAGCUCGAUGAGUAGGGCGGGACACGUGGUAUCCUGUCUGAAUAUGGGGGGACCAUCCUCCAAGGCUAAAUACUCCUGACUGACCGAUAGUGAACCAGUACCGUGAGGGAAAGGCGAAAAGAACCCCGGCGAGGGGAGUGAAAAAGAACCUGAAACCGUGUACGUACAAGCAGUGGGAGCCCCACCACCAAAGCAUUCUCUGGUGUUGAAGGCCCUGCAAAGCAGCAUCGCGGUGGCGGAGCGUCGUUUGCGACGCCCAACACACAAAACAAGCGGUGAGUGCUUUGGGGUGGGGUGACUGCGUACCUUUUGUAUAAUGGGUCAGCGACUUAUAUUCUGUAGCAAGGUUAACCGAAUAGGGGAGCCGGAGGGAAACCGAGUCUUAAUUGGGCGUUAAGUUGCAGGGUAUAGACCCGAAACCCGGUGAUCUAGCCAUGGGCAGGUUGAAGGUUGGGUAACACUAACUGGAGGACCGAACCGACUAAUGUUGAAAAAUUAGCGGAUGACCUGUGGCUGGGGGUGAAAGGCCAAUCAAACCGGGAGAUAGCUGGUUCUCCCCGAAAGCUAUUUAGGUAGCGCCUCGUGAAUUCAUCUCCGGGGGUAGAGCACUGUUUCGGCUAGGGGGCCAUCCCGGCUUACCAACCCGAUGCAAACUGCGAAUACCGGAGAAUGUUAUCACGGGAGACACACGGCGGGUGCUAACGUCCGUCGUGAAGAGGGAAACAACCCAGACCGCCAGCUAAGGUCCCAAAGUCAUGGUUAAGUGGGAAACGAUGUGGGAAGGCCCAGACAGCCAGGAUGUUGGCUUAGAAGCAGCCAUCAUUUAAAGAAAGCGUAAUAGCUCACUGGUCGAGUCGGCCUGCGCGGAAGAUGUAACGGGGCUAAACCAUGCACCGAAGCUGCGGCAGCGACGCUGAUGCGUUGUUGGGUAGGGGAGCGUUCUGUAAGCCUGUGAAGGUGGCCUGUGAGGGUUGCUGGAGGUAUCAGAAGUGCGAAUGCUGACAUAAGUAACGAUAAAGCGGGUGAAAAGCCCGCUCGCCGGAAGACCAAGGGUUCCUGUCCAACGUUAAUCGGGGCAGGGUGAGUCGACCCCUAAGGCGAGGCCGAAAGGCGUAGUCGAUGGGAAACGGGUUAAUAUUCCCGUACUUGGUGUUACUGCGAAGGGGGGACGGAGAAGGCUAUGUUGGCCGGGCGACGGUUGUCCCGGUUUAAGCGUGUAGGUGUGUGUUCCAGGUAAAUCCGGUUCACUUUAACACUGAGGCGUGAUGACGAGGCACUACGGUGCUGAAGCAACAAAUGCCCUGCUUCCAGGAAAAGCCUCUAAGCAUCAGGUAACAUCAAAUCGUACCCCAAACCGACACAGGUGGUCAGGUAGAGAAUACCAAGGCGCUUGAGAGAACUCGGGUGAAGGAACUAGGCAAAAUGGUGCCGUAACUUCGGGAGAAGGCACGCUGACACGUAGGUGAAGUGAUUUACUCACGGAGCUGAAGUCAGUCGAAGAUACCAGCUGGCUGCAACUGUUUAUUAAAAACACAGCACUGUGCAAACACGAAAGUGGACGUAUACGGUGUGACGCCUGCCCGGUGCCGGAAGGUUAAUUGAUGGGGUCAGCGCAAGCGAAGCUCCUGAUCGAAGCCCCGGUAAACGGCGGCCGUAACUAUAACGGUCCUAAGGUAGCGAAAUUCCUUGUCGGGUAAGUUCCGACCUGCACGAAUGGCGUAAUGAUGGCCAGGCUGUCUCCACCCGAGACUCAGUGAAAUUGAACUCGCUGUGAAGAUGCAGUGUACCCGCGGCAAGACGGAAAGACCCCGUGAACCUUUACUAUAGCUUGACACUGAACAUUGAGCCUUGAUGUGUAGGAUAGGUGGGAGGCUUUGAAGUGUGGACGCCAGUCUGCAUGGAGCCGACCUUGAAAUACCACCCUUUAAUGUUUGAUGUUCUAACGUGGACCCGUAAUCCGGGUUGCGGACAGUGUCUGGUGGGUAGUUUGACUGGGGCGGUCUCCUCCUAAAGAGUAACGGAGGAGCACGAAGGUUGGCUAAUCCUGGUCGGACAUCAGGAGGUUAGUGCAAUGGCAUAAGCCAGCUUGACUGCGAGCGUGACGGCGCGAGCAGGUGCGAAAGCAGGUCAUAGUGAUCCGGUGGUUCUGAAUGGAAGGGCCAUCGCUCAACGGAUAAAAGGUACUCCGGGGAUAACAGGCUGAUACCGCCCAAGAGUUCAUAUCGACGGCGGUGUUUGGCACCUCGAUGUCGGCUCAUCACAUCCUGGGGCUGAAGUAGGUCCCAAGGGUAUGGCUGUUCGCCAUUUAAAGUGGUACGCGAGCUGGGUUUAGAACGUCGUGAGACAGUUCGGUCCCUAUCUGCCGUGGGCGCUGGAGAACUGAGGGGGGCUGCUCCUAGUACGAGAGGACCGGAGUGGACGCAUCACUGGUGUUCGGGUUGUCAUGCCAAUGGCACUGCCCGGUAGCUAAAUGCGGAAGAGAUAAGUGCUGAAAGCAUCUAAGCACGAAACUUGCCCCGAGAUGAGUUCUCCCUGAGACUUAAAGUCUCCUGAAGGAACGUUGAAGACGACGACGUUGAUAGGCCGGGUGUGUAAGCGCAGCGAUGCGUUGAGCUAACCGGUACUAAUGAACCGUGAGGCUUAACCUUACAACGCCGAAG
rnacentral:rRNA from 2 species